GACGUAGGGCGCGAGCGUUGUCCGGAUUUAUUGGGCGUAAAGAGCUCGUAGGCGGCUUGUCGCGUCGAAUGUGAAAUCUCAGGGCUCAACUCUGACAUUGCAUUCGAUACGGGCAGGCUCGAGUUCGGUAGGGGAGACUGGAAUUCCUGGUGUAGCGGUGAAAUGCGCAGAUAUCAGGAGGAACACCGGUGGCGAAGGCGGGUAUCUGGGCCGAUACUGACGCUGAGGAGCGAAAGCGUGGGGAGCGAACAGG
rnacentral:rRNA from 1 species